GGGUUAGCACAGCUCAGUGGUCAGAGCUUAGGCCUUUUGACCGGAAAGUCCCGGGAUCGAAUCUCGCCAAAGGCA
rnacentral:tRNA from 1 species